GGGUUGUGAGGUUAAGCGACUAAGCGUACACGGUGGAUGCCCUGGCAGUCAGAGGCGAUGAAGGGCGUGCUAAUCUGCGAUAAGCGCCGGUAAGGUGAUAUGAACCGUUAUAACCGGCGAUACCCGAAUGGGGAAACCCAGUGUGAUUCGUCACACUAUCAUUAACUGAAUCCAUAGGUUAAUGAGGCGAACCGGGGGAACUGAAACAUCUAAGUACCCCGAGGAAAAGAAAUCAACCGAGAUUCCCCCAGUAGCGGCGAGCGAACGGGGAGGAGCCCAGAGCCUGAAUCAGCAUGUGUGUUAGUGGAAGCGUCUGGAAAGGCGCGCGAUACAGGGUGACAGCCCCGUACACAAAAGCGCAUGUGCUGUGAGCUCGAUGAGUAGGGCGGGACACGUGGUAUCCUGUCUGAAUAUGGGGGGACCAUCCUCCAAGGCUAAAUACUCCUGACUGACCGAUAGUGAACCAGUACCGUGAGGGAAAGGCGAAAAGAACCCCGGCGAGGGGAGUGAAAAAGAACCUGAAACCGUGUACGUACAAGCAGUGGGAGCACAGGUUUACCUGUGUGACUGCGUACCUUUUGUAUAAUGGGUCAGCGACUUAUAUUCUGUAGCAAGGUUAACCGUAUAGGGGAGCCGGAGGGAAACCGAGUCUUAACCGGGCGUUAAGUUGCAGGGUAUAGACCCGAAACCCGGUGAUCUAGCCAUGGGCAGGUUGAAGGUUGGGUAACACUAACUGGAGGACCGAACCGACUAAUGUUGAAAAAUUAGCGGAUGACCUGUGGCUGGGGGUGAAAGGCCAAUCAAACCGGGAGAUAGCUGGUUCUCCCCGAAAGCUAUUUAGGUAGCGCCUCGUGAAUUCAUCUCCGGGGGUAGAGCACUGUUUCGGCUAGGGGGCCAUCCCGGCUUACCAACCCGAUGCAAACUGCGAAUACCGGAGAAUGUUAUCACGGGAGACACACGGCGGGUGCUAACGUCCGUCGUGAAGAGGGAAACAACCCAGACCGCCAGCUAAGGUCCCAAAGUCAUGGUUAAGUGGGAAACGAUGUGGGAAGGCCCAGACAGCCAGGAUGUUGGCUUAGAAGCAGCCAUCAUUUAAAGAAAGCGUAAUAGCUCACUGGUCGAGUCGGCCUGCGCGGAAGAUGUAACGGGGCUAAACCAUGCACCGAAGCUGCGGCAGCGAACGUAUCACUUAAAGCGAUUCAGCGGGUUACGAUUGACGGAGCGAAGCGACGUCAAAGCGUAUACAAAGUCGAGUCGGUUUAAGGAUACGUUCGUUGGGUAGGGGAGCGUUCUGUAAGCCUGUGAAGGUGUGUCGUGAGGCAUGCUGGAGGUAUCAGAAGUGCGAAUGCUGACAUAAGUAACGAUAAAGCGGGUGAAAAGCCCGCUCGCCGGAAGACCAAGGGUUCCUGUCCAACGUUAAUCGGGGCAGGGUGAGUCGACCCCUAAGGCGAGGCCGAAAGGCGUAGUCGAUGGGAAACGGGUUAAUAUUCCCGUACUUGGUGUUACUGCGAAGGGGGGACGGAGAAGGCUAUGUUGGCCGGGCGACGGUUGUCCCGGUUUAAGCGUGUAGGUGUGUGUUCCAGGUAAAUCCGGUUCACUUUAACACUGAGGCGUGAUGACGAGGCACUACGGUGCUGAAGCAACAAAUGCCCUGCUUCCAGGAAAAGCCUCUAAGCAUCAGGUAACAUCAAAUCGUACCCCAAACCGACACAGGUGGUCAGGUAGAGAAUACCAAGGCGCUUGAGAGAACUCGGGUGAAGGAACUAGGCAAAAUGGUGCCGUAACUUCGGGAGAAGGCACGCUGACACGUAGGUGAAGUGAUUUACUCAUGGAGCUGAAGUCAGUCGAAGAUACCAGCUGGCUGCAACUGUUUAUUAAAAACACAGCACUGUGCAAACACGAAAGUGGACGUAUACGGUGUGACGCCUGCCCGGUGCCGGAAGGUUAAUUGAUGGGGUCAGCGCAAGCGAAGCUCCUGAUCGAAGCCCCGGUAAACGGCGGCCGUAACUAUAACGGUCCUAAGGUAGCGAAAUUCCUUGUCGGGUAAGUUCCGACCUGCACGAAUGGCGUAAUGAUGGCCAGGCUGUCUCCACCCGAGACUCAGUGAAAUUGAACUCGCUGUGAAGAUGCAGUGUACCCGCGGCAAGACGGAAAGACCCCGUGAACCUUUACUAUAGCUUGACACUGAACAUUGAGCCUUGAUGUGUAGGAUAGGUGGGAGGCUUUGAAGCGUGGACGCCAGUCUGCGUGGAGCCGACCUUGAAAUACCACCCUUUAAUGUUU
rnacentral:rRNA from 3 species